rnacentral:rRNA from 1 species
CCUACGGGAGACAGCAGUGAGGAAUAUUGGUCAAUGGCCGGAAGGCUGAACCAGCCAUGCCGCGUGAAGGUCAGUGCCCUAUGGGCGUUAAACUUCUUUUGUGCGGGAGCAAUAAUGGUCACGUGUGGCCAGACGAGAGUACCGUACGAAUAAGCAUCGGCUAACUCCGUGCCAGCAGCCGCGGUUAUACCGGGGAUGCAAGCGUUAUCCGGAAUUAUUGGGUUUAAAGGGUGCGUAGGCUGUGAGGUAAGUCAGCGGUGAAAUGCCCCCGCUCAACGGGGUGAAGUGCCAUUGAUACUGCCUGGCUGGAAUGCGGAUGCGGUGGGAGGAAUGUGUGGUGUAGCGGUGAAAUGCAUAGAUAUCACACAGAACACCGAUUGCGAAGGCAUCUCACGAAUCCGCGAUUGACGCUGAUGCACGAAAGCGUGGGUAUCAAACAGGAUUAGAUACCCCUGUAGUC